rnacentral:rRNA from 1 species
GAUGAACGCUGGCGGCGUGCCUAAUACAUGCAAGUCGAGCGAACAGACGAGGAGCUUGCUCCUCUGACGUUAGCGGCGGACGGGUGAGUAACACGUGGAUAACCUACCUAUAAGACUGGGAUAACUUCGGGAAACCGGAGCUAAUACCGGAUAAUAUAUUGAACCGCAUGGUUCAAUAGUGAAAGACGGUUUUGCUGUCACUUUUAGAUGGAUCCGCGCCGCAUUAGCUAGUUGGUAAGGUAACGGCUUACCAAGGCAACGAUGCGUAGCCGACCUGAGAGGGUGAUCGGCCACACUGGAAAUGAGACACGGUCCAGACUCCUACGGGAGGCAGCAGUAGGGAAUCUUCCGCAAUGGGCGAAAGCUUGACGGAGCAACGCCGCGUGAGUGAUGAAGGUCUUCGGAUCGUAAAACUCUGUUAUUAGGGAAGAACAAAUGUGUAAGUAACUAUGCACGUCUUGACGGUACCUAAUCAGAAAGCCACGGCUAACUACGUG